rnacentral:rRNA from 1 species
GGUUAAGCGAACAAGCGUACACGGUGGAUGCCCUGGCAGUCAGAGGCGAUGAAGGACGUGCUAAUCUGCGAAAAGCGCCGGUAAGGUGAUAUGAACCGUUAUAACCGGCGAUGUCCGAAUGGGGAAACCCGGUGCACUUCGGUGCAUCAUCGUUAGCUGAAUACAUAGGCUAACGAGGCGAACCGGGGGAACUGAAACAUCUAAGUACCCCGAGGAAAAGAAAUCAACCGAGAUUCCCCCAGUAGCGGCGAGCGAACGGGGAACAGCCCAGAGCCUGAAUCAGCUUGUGUGUCAGUGGAACGGUCUGGAAAGGCCGGCGAUACAGGGUGACAGCCCCGUACACGAAGGCACACAGGCUGUGAGCUCGAUGAGUAGGGCGGGACACGUGAUAUCCUGUCUGAAGAUGGGGGGACCAUCCUCCAAGGCUAAAUACUCCUGACUGACCGAUAGUGAACCAGUACCGUGAGGGAAAGGCGAAAAGAACCCCGGCGAGGGGAGUGAAACAGAACCUGAAACCGUGUACGUACAAGCAGUGGGAGCCUUCGUAAGAGGGUGACUGCGUACCUUUUGUAUAAUGGGUCAGCGACUUAUAUUCUGUAGCAAGGUUAACCGUAUAGGGGAGCCGAAGGGAAACCGAGUCUUAACCGGGCGUUAAGUUGCAGGGUAUAGACCCGAAACCCGGUGAUCUAGCCAUGGGCAGGUUGAAGGUUGGGUAACACUAACUGGAGGACCGAACCGACUAAUGUUGAAAAAUUAGCGGAUGACCUGUGGCUGGGGGUGAAAGGCCAAUCAAACCGGGAGAUAGCUGGUUCUCCCCGAAAGCUAUUUAGGUAGCGCCUCGUGAACUCAUCUCCGGGGGUAGAGCACUGUUUCGGCUAGGGGGCCAUCCCGGCUUACCAACCCGAUGCAAACUGCGAAUACCGGAGAAUGUUAUCACGGGAGACACACGGCGGGUGCUAACGUCCGUCGUGAAGAGGGAAACAACCCAGACCGCCAGCUAAGGUCCCAAAGUCAUGGUUAAGUGGGAAACGAUGUGGGAAGGCCCAGACAGCCAGGAUGUUGGCUUAGAAGCAGCCAUCAUUUAAAGAAAGCGUAAUAGCUCACUGGUCGAGUCGGCCUGCGCGGAAGAUGUAACGGGGCUAAACCAUGCACCGAAGCUGCGGCAGCGAC